CGUCACCGCGAGCGCGAGAAGUCGAAGUGAGGAGCAGAAAGCGUUGUUAGUGUUAGUUCUGGCCCGUUUGGACCCAGACUAAAGUGUAUCAGUAUGAAGCAGGCGGAGACGGCGCACUGAUUCACUCUCAGAGCUCGGUUCACUAAUGACCGAAUCACCGAGGAACCGACCAAAGAUAACUCACACCCGCACAGAGAAGAAGAUGAGCUGGAGUGGGGCAAAGAGAACUGCAUUCAGAUCAAACGGAUACAAGAGAGGUGGCCGAGUUGUUUGAGGAUCUGAAGAAUCGAGUGUCACAAUUCAACAUGCACAUCAGCGAAACUUCCUCUGACUACACCAGCGCGCGCACACACACAAAUUCAUAGUGCAGUUUAUUUUGGAUACAGGCAGAGGAAGCUCAGCGAAAGCUUAAGAGACAGAAUGGAGAGGACCCAGCCCUGCCUCCAUUCUGCCCACUGUUUGCCAGCUUGGGAAACAUUCUGCAGUGUGACGUGCUGCUUGGCAUGCUGGGAGCUGUGCUGCAGUGGGCUAUGGUGCCCAGUGGAGGACACUGGUCUGAGUCCAUGCUGCAGAGGGUAAAUGUUUGGAUGUUUUGUUAAAAUGACAUGAUAGUGUAGUAAAUUCAACAAAAUUCCACUUGCUAUGCUGUGUUCAUGAGCAUCACUUUUUAAUGACUGAGUAGUGUUCACAAUUCUGUAUGUGUGUGUUGCUACAGGUGCUGCACUUGAUAGGCAUGGCUCUGCUGGAGGAGCAGCAACAGCUAGAGAACAUUGGGGAUGACGAUGAAGUUACUUUCAACUUCACCCUCAAAAUCUCCCGUCCCGGGGAAGCCCCCGGCAACACUCCAAGCAUCCUGGCUCUGUUAGAGGCCUUGCAGCGCGCGCUUCACUUGGAAGUGCAUAAAGACAUGAUUCGCUGGAUCCUUAAAGUGAAAUUACAUCUUGAUUAUGUUUGCAAUUUGCCUUACUAUGCGUGCACCUAAUAUAUCCACCAGGUGGCAGCCUAGCAUGUUUUGCAAUUCGCUCACUGAAGGUAGGCACAACAUACA